CCACGGCGGUGCCGCCGGCCGGGGCGGCGGGCCCGCUGGCGGCGGGUUCGGGCGCGGCCCGGGCGCUGCGCCCGCCGUUCCGUCCGCAGCCGGUGC
rnacentral:tRNA from 1 species